rnacentral:rRNA from 1 species
CACGUAGGGCGCAAGCGUUGUCCGGAAUUAUUGGGCGUAAAGAGCUCGUAGGCGGACUGUCACGUCCGCUGUGAAAAGCUAGGGCUUAACCCUGGCCUUGCAGUGGAUACGGGCAGACUAGAGGUAGGUAGGGGAGAAUGGAAUUCCCGGUGUAGCGGUGAAAUGCGCAGAUAUCGGGAGGAACACCGGUGGCGAAGGCGGUUCUCUGGGCCGUUACCUGACGCUGAGGCAGCGAAAGCGUGGGGAGCGAACAGG